UACGUAGGGGGCAAGCGUUGUCCGGAUUUAUUGGGCGUAAAGAGCGUGUAGGCGGUUUGGUAGGUCCGCUGUGAAAACUCGAGGCUCAACCUCGAGACGCCGGUGGAAACCAUCAGGCUAGAGUCCGGAAGAGGAGAGUGGAAUUCCUGGUGUAGCGGUGAAAUGCGCAGAUAUCAGGAAGAACACCCGUGGCGUAAGGCGGCUCUC
rnacentral:rRNA from 1 species